AUUGAACGCUGGCGGCAGGCUUAACACAUGCAAGUCGAGCGGUAACAGAGAGAAGCUUGCUUCUCUGCUGACGAGCGGCGGACGGGUGAGUAAUGCCUAGGAAUCUGCCUAGUAGUGGGGGAUAACUUGCCGAAAGGUAAGCUAAUACCGCAUACGUCCUACGGGAGAAAGGAGGGGACCUUCGGGCCUUUCGCUAUUAGAUGAGCCUAGGUCGGAUUAGUUAGUUGGUGAGGUAAUGGCUCACCAAGACCGCGAUCCGUAACUGGUCUGAGAGGAUGAUCAGUCACACUGGAACUGAGACACGGUCCAGACUCCUACGGGAGGCAGCAGUGGGGAAUAUUGGACAAUGGGGGGAAACCUGAUCCAGCCAUGCCGCGUGUGUGAAGAAGGUCUUAGGAUUGUAAAGCACUUUAAGUUGGGAGGAAGAGCAGUUAACUAAUAUUUGACUGUUUUGACGUUACCGACAGAAUAAGCACCGGCUAACUUCGUG
rnacentral:rRNA from 1 species